GAUGAACGCUGGCGGCGUGCCUAAUACAUGCAAGUCGAGCGAACAGACGAGGAGCUUGCUCCUCUGACGUUAGCGGCGGACGGGUGAGUAACACGUGGAUAACCUACCUAUAAGACUGGGAUAACUUCGGGAAACCGGAGCUAAUACCGGAUAAUAUAUUGAACCGCAUGGUUCAAUAGUGAAAGACGGUUUUGCUGUCACUUAUAGAUGGAUCCGCGCCGCAUUAGCUAGUUGGUAAGGUAACGGCUUACCAAGGCGACGAUGCGUAGCCGACCUGAGAGGGUGAUCGGCCACACUGGAGCUGAGACGCGGUCCAGACUCCUACGGGAGGCAGCAGUAGGGAAUCUUCCGCAAUGGGCGAAAGCCUGACGGAGCAACGCCGCGUGAGUGAUGAAGGUCUUCGGAUCGUAAAACUCUGUUAUUAGGGAAGAACAAAUGUGUAAGUAACUAUGCACGUCUUGACGGUACCUGAUCAGAAAGCCACGGCUAACUACGUG
rnacentral:rRNA from 1 species